CCCGUAGGUGAACCUGCGGAAGGAUCAUUACUGAGUGCGGGCUGCCUCCGGGCGCCCAACCUCCCACUCGCGAAUACCUAACACUGUUGCUUCGGCGGGGAACCCCCUCGGGGGCGAGCCGCCGGGGACUACUGAACUUCAUGCCUGAGAGUGAUGCAGUCUGAGUCUGAAUAUAAAAUCAGUCAAAACUUUCAACAAUGGAUCUCUUGGUUCCGGCAUCGAUGAAGAACGCAGCGAACUGCGAUAAGUAAUGUGAAUUGCAGAAUUCAGUGAAUCAUCGAGUCUUUGAACGCACAUUGCGCCCCCUGGCAUUCCGGGGGGCAUGCCUGUCCGAGCGUCAUUGCUGCCCAUCAAGCCCGGCUUGUGUGUUGGGUCGUCGUCCCCCCCCGGGGGACGGGCCCGAAAGGCAGCGGCGGCACCGUGUCCGGUCCUCGAGCGUAUGGGGCUUUGUCACCCGCUCGACUAGGGCCGGCCGGGCGCCAGCCGACGUCUCCAACCAUUUUUCUUCAGGUUGACCUCGGAUCAGGUAGGGAUACCCGCUGAACUUAAGCAUAUCAAUAAGCGGAGGA
rnacentral:misc_RNA from 1 species